GUGUCAGCCGCCGCGGUAAUACGGAGGGUGCGAGCGUUAAUCGGAAUUACUGGGCGUAAAGCGCAUGCAGGUGGUUUGUUAAGUCAGAUGUGAAAGCCCGGGGCUCAACCUCGGAAUUGCAUUUGAAACUGGCAGGCUAGAGUACUGUAGAGGGGGGUAGAAUUUCAGGUGUAGCGGUGAAAUGCGUAGAGAUCUGAAGGAAUACCGGUGGCGAAGGCGGCCCCCCUGGACAGAUACUGACACUCAGAUGCGAAAGCGUGGGGAGCGAACAGGAUUAGAUACCCUCGUAGUCC
rnacentral:rRNA from 1 species